ACGGCAACAGCGGCUGCUACAAGGAAGAGGAGAAGCGUCAAGGUGGCGGCCACAUGGAGUUUUCCGGUGAUCGGACGGUACGUUUUAAAGUGGGAGACUAGAGAAGUGAGAGCUCGAGGUUUAGAGAAGAGAGAUGUCAUUGUUAUGAUUUUUUGGAUAUUAAGGGAAUCUUUGGAGGCUAAGGAAUCUUUUAUCAGUCUUCUUAAUUUUUGUUGAUCUCUCUCUCUCUUUCUUUCUUCCUUCCUUCCAGUCUCUCUUUUUUGUUUGUUCUCUUAAAAUUUUUUAUUUGAACCUAAAAGAAAAUUUAAGCAGGAAAAGAAGAUGCAUGUUACGUGAGUUUGACAAGGACACGACACGACACUGAUGAUGAUGAUGAUGAUAUUGAUAAUGGACUCGUUUUACUACAUUCUUUGAAAUUUGGAAUUUUAUCUAACUAAACUUACUACUCGAUCGUGUAAAUUACGUCACUUUCGUAUUAUGAUAAUCAUAUACGACUAUUCCACCGUGGUGUUAUUGGUUACCGGCUAAACCGGGCGCACUUGUACGUAUUUGGCUUUAAUUGUUUUGUUGUUUUACUUUUCUUUUCCAGCUGUACAUUUGAAAAAAAACAAAAGACCCCCAAAAACCUUUUUUCCUAAAAAAUUUUCAUAUUAAUUUUUUUUUCGAAGUUAUAGUUAAACGCAAAUUAAUAACAAAACAAAACAAAACAAGCCUAAAGACCCACUAAGUGGGCCCGGUUAGAAUAAAUAGCUAGUAAACCAUAGCACCAUUUCGUCUUGUCCUGGUACUUUUUCCGGGUUUAUCACAAACUAGUAUUAUUGCCCAUAUUAUGUAUGGACAAAAUCAUUGUUAAAAGUAUUCAUACCAGAAUGUUUGUUCAAAAUGUGUCACUAUAAUAGAAAACAUGCAUUUCUAUUUUCAAAGGAACAAAAUAGUGUGAUUUAGUGGCAAUUCAUGGAUCUGGUGAUGAAUUUAAAAAAUAUUGAACCACAAUUUACGAUCAAACUAAAGGCUAAAGACAUUACAUCAACUAUAAAUCUAUAUAAAGAAGACCAAAUACAAUUUAAAAAAUUUCAGAUUUUAUAAUGGAUAAAAUUGUUUGUCAUUUUCCCUAAAGCAACAAAACGGUAAAAACUCUCGAAAUAAAUGAGAAAUUUGAAAAUAUUCUUCAAAACAAUUAGCAACAAAAAUAUGUUUGUUCAAAAUGUGUCAUUAAUUUUAUUUUAAAAUAGUAGAGGACACAUGGACAAAAUCAUUGUUAAAAGUAUUCAUACCAAAAUGUUUGUUCAAAAUGUGUCAUUAUAAUAGAAAACAUGCAUUUCUAUUUUUAAAGGAACAAAAUAGUGUGAUUUAGUGGUAAUUCAUGGAUCUGGUUUUGUUGUUAUUAUUGUCGGUGGAUUAUAUGAUUUUGUCUGUAGUAAACAAUUAAAAAUUCAAUUAAAUGAAAAUAAUUGAAUUUUUAAUUACGCAAUGAAAAGAUCUCAACAAUAAUUACCUUGUUUAGCCAUAGAGAUGUUCUUGAGCAAGAACCAGACCGGUUUUGGUUCAAUAAACUUGUGCAAUUUACCAAUACCCCGGUUUUCUGCGGUGAUUCUAGAUCCGGUACCGGUUUUGUUGUGACUAAUGUCGGUCGAUCAAAUUGUUUCGUCGUCUUUGAUUAACAAAAAAAAGAUUAUGUUAAUUUUCUUGAUAACGUUAUUCUUAAGGUUAUUUUCUUAAAUAAUUAUACCUUACUAAGCCAUAGAGAGGAAGUGACGGCAACAGCGGCUGCUACAAGGAAGAGGAGAAGCGUCAAAGUGGCGGCCACAUGGAGUUUUCCGGUGAUCGGACGGUACGUUUUAAAGUGGGAGACUAGAGAAGUGAGAGCUCGAGGUUUAGAGAAGAGAGAUGUCAUUGUUAUGAUUUUUUGGAUAUUAAGGGAAUCUUUGGAGGCUAAGGAAUCUUUUAUCAGUCUUCUUAAUUUUUGUUGAUCUCUCUCUCUCUUUCUUUCUUCC
rnacentral:lncRNA from 1 species